rnacentral:rRNA from 1 species
CCCGUUGAAAAGGUAGGGGAUGACUUGUGGAUCGGAGUGAAAGGCUAAUCAAGCUCGGAGAUAGCUGGUUCUCCUCGAAAGCUAUUUAGGUAGCGCCUCAUGUAUCACUCUGGGGGGUAGAGCACUGUUUCGGCUAGGGGGUCAUCCCGACUUACCAAACCGAUGCAAACUCCGAAUACCCAGAAGUGCCGAGCAUGGGAGACACACGGCGGGUGCUAACGUCCGUCGUGAAAAGGGAAACAACCCAGACCGCCAGCUAAGGUCCCAAAGUUGUGGUUAAGUGGUAAACGAUGUGGGAAGGCUUAGACAGCUAGGAGGUUGGCUUAGAAGCAGCCAUCCUUUAAAGAAAGCGUAAUAGCUCACUAGUCGAGUCGGCCUGCGCGGAAGAUGUAACGGGGCUCAAACCACACACCGAAGCUGCGGGUGUCACGUAAGUGACGCGGUAGAGGAGCGUUCUGUAAGCCUGUGAAGGUGAGUUGAGAAGCUUGCUGGAGGUAUCAGAAGUGCGAAUGCUGACAUGAGUAACGACAAUGGGUGUGAAAAACACCCACGCCGAAAGACCAAGGGUUCCUGCGCAACGUUAAUCGACGCAGGGUUAGUCGGUUCCUAAGGCGAGGCUGAAAAGCGUAGUCGAUGGGAAACAGGUUAAUAUUCCUGUACUUCUGGUUACUGCGAUGGAGGGACGGAGAAGGCUAGGCCAGCUUGGCGUUGGUUGUCCAAGUUUAAGGUGGUAGGCUGAAAUCUUAGGUAAAUCCGGGGUUUCAAGGCCGAGAGCUGAUGACGAGUCGUCUUUUAGAUGACGAAGUGGUUGAUGCCAUGCUUCCAAGAAAAGCUUCUAAGCUUCAGGUAACCAGGAACCGUACCCCAAACCGACACAGGUGGUCGGGUAGAGAAUACCAAGGCGCUUGAGAGAACUCGGGUGAAGGAACUAGGCAAAAUGGCACCGUAACUUCGGGAGAAGGUGCGCCGGCUAGGGUGAAGGAUUUACUCCGUAAGCUCUGGCUGGUCGAAGAUACCAGGCCGCUGCGACUGUUUAUUAAAAACACAGCACUCUGCAAACACGAAAGUGGACGUAUAGGGUGUGACGCCUGCCCGGUGCCGGAAGGUUAAUUGAUGGGGUUAGCGCAAGCGAAGCUCUUGAUCGAAGCCCCGGUAAACGGCGGCCGUAACUAUAACGGUCCUAAGGUAGCGAAAUUCCUUGUCGGGUAAGUUCCGACCUGCACGAAUGGCGUAACGAUGGCGGCGCUGUCUCCACCCGAGACUCAGUGAAAUUGAAAUCGCUGUGAAGAUGCAGUGUAUCCGCGGCUAGACGGAAAGACCCCGUGAACCUUUACUGUAGCUUUGCACUGGACUUUGAGCCUGCUUGUGUAGGAUAGGUGGGAGGCUUUGAAGCGUGGACGCCAGUUCGCGUGGAGCCAUCCUUGAAAUACCACCCUGGCAUGCUUGAGGUUCUAACUCUGGUCCGUGAUCCGGAUCGAGGACAGUGUAUGGUGGGCAGUUUGACUGGGGCGGUCUCCUCCUAAAGAGUAACGGAGGAGUACGAAGGUGCGCUCAGACCGGUCGGAAAUCGGUCGCAGAGUAUAAAGGCAAAAGCGCGCUUGACUGCGAGACAGACACGUCGAGCAGGUACGAAAGUAGGUCUUAGUGAUCCGGUGGUUCUGUAUGGAAGGGCCAUCGCUCAACGGAUAAAAGGUACUCCGGGGAUAACAGGCUGAUACCGCCCAAGAGUUCAUAUCGACGGCGGUGUUUGGCACCUCGAUGUCGGCUCAUCACAUCCUGGGGCUGAAGCCGGUCCCAAGGGUAUGGCUGUUCGCCAUUUAAAGUGGUACGCGAGCUGGGUUUAGAACGUCGUGAGACAGUUCGGUCCCUAUCUGCCGUGGACGUUUGAGAUUUGAGAGGGGCUGCUCCUAGUACGAGAGGACCGGAGUGGACGAACCUCUGGUGUUCCGGUUGUCACGCCAGUGGCAUUGCCGGGUAGCUAUGUUCGGAAAAGAUAACCGCUGAAAGCAUCUAAGCGGGAAACUUGCCUCAAGAUGAGAUCUCACUGGGAACUUGAUUCCCCUGAAGGGCCGUCGAAGACUACGACGUUGAUAGGCUGGGUGUGUAAGCGUUGU